rnacentral:rRNA from 1 species
ACACACGGCGGGUGCUAACGUCCGUCGUGAAGAGGGAAACAACCCAGACCGCCAGCUAAGGUCCCAAAGUCAUGGUUAAGUGGGAAACGAUGUGGGAAGGCCCAGACAGCCAGGAUGUUGGCUUAGAAGCAGCCAUCAUUUAAAGAAAGCGUAAUAGCUCACUGGUCGAGUCGGCCUGCGCGGAAGAUGUAACGGGGCUAAACCAUGCACCGAAGCUGCGGCAGCGACACUGUGUGUUGUUGGGUAGGGGAGCGUUCUGUAAGCCUGCGAAGGUGUGCUGUGAGGCAUGCUGGAGGUAUCAGAAGUGCGAAUGCUGACAUAAGUAACGAUAAAGCGGGUGAAAAGCCCGCUCGCCGGAAGACCAAGGGUUCCUGUCCAACGUUAAUCGGGGCAGGGUGAGUCGACCCCUAAGGCGAGGCCGAAAGGCGUAGUCGAUGGGAAACAGGUUAAUAUUCCUGUACUUGGUGUUACUGCGAAGGGGGGACGGAGAAGGCUAUGUUGGCCGGGCGACGGUUGUCCCGGUUUAAGCGUGUAGGCUGGUUUUCCAGGCAAAUCCGGAAAAUCAAGGCUGAGGCGUGAUGACGAGGCACUACGGUGCUGAAGCAACAAAUGCCCUGCUUCCAGGAAAAGCCUCUAAGCAUCAGGUAACAUCAAAUCGUACCCCAAACCGACACAGGUGGUCAGGUAGAGAAUACCAAGGCGCUUGAGAGAACUCGGGUGAAGGAACUAGGCAAAAUGGUGCCGUAACUUCGGGAGAAGGCACGCUGAUACGUAGGUGAAGUCCCUCGCGGAUGGAGCUGAAAUCAGUCGAAGAUACCAGCUGGCUGCAACUGUUUAUUAAAAACACAGCACUGUGCAAACACGAAAGUGGACGUAUACGGUGUGACGCCUGCCCGGUGCCGGAAGGUUAAUUGAUGGGGUCAGCGCAAGCGAAGCUCUUGAUCGAAGCCCCGGUAAACGGCGGCCGUAACUAUAACGGUCCUAAGGUAGCGAAAUUCCUUGUCGGGUAAGUUCCGACCUGCACGAAUGGCGUAAUGAUGGCCAGGCUGUCUCCACCCGAGACUCAGUGAAAUUGAACUCGCUGUGAAGAUGCAGUGUACCCGCGGCAAGACGGAAAGACCCCGUGAACCUUUACUAUAGCUUGACACUGAACAUUGAGCCUUGAUGUGUAGGAUAGGUGGGAGGCUUUGAAGUGUGGACGCCAGUCUGCAUGGAGCCGACCUUGAAAUACCACCCUUUAAUGUUUGAUGUUCUAACGUUGACCCGUAAUCCGGGUUGCGGACAGUGUCUGGUGGGUAGUUUGACUGGGGCGGUCUCCUCCUAAAGAGUAACGGAGGAGCACGAAGGUUGGCUAAUCCUGGUCGGACAUCAGGAGGUUAGUGCAAUGGCAUAAGCCAGCUUGACUGCGAGCGUGACGGCGCGAGCAGGUGCGAAAGCAGGUCAUAGUGAUCCGGUGGUUCUGAAUGGAAGGGCCAUCGCUCAACGGAUAAAAGGUACUCCGGGGAUAACAGGCUGAUACCGCCCAAGAGUUCAUAUCGACGGCGGUGUUUGGCACCUCGAUGUCGGCUCAUCACAUCCUGGGGCUGAAGUAGGUCCCAAGGGUAUGGCUGUUCGCCAUUUAAAGUGGUACGCGAGCUGGGUUUAGAACGUCGUGAGACAGUUCGGUCCCUAUCUGCCGUGGGCGCUGGAGAAUUGAGGGGGGCUGCUCCUAGUACGAGAGGACCGGAGUGGACGCAUCACUGGUGUUCGGGUUGUCAUGCCAAUGGCACUGCCCGGUAGCUAAAUGCGGAAGAGAUAAGUGCUGAAAGCAUCUAAGCACGAAACUUGCCCCGAGAUGAGUUCUCCCUGACUCCUUGAGAGUCCUGAAGGAACGUUGAAGACGACGACGUUGAUAGGCCGGGUGUGUAAGCGCAGCGAUGCGUUGAGCUAACCGGUACUAAUGAACCGUGAGGCUUAACCUUACAACGCCGAAGGUGUUU